UGAUAAAAUAAUUGAAAGUCUAUAUUUUCAUGUAAAUAAAUUUAGUGGCAGUUUGCAAUUCCUUACGAUAAGAUCACAUUUCUUUACAAAUUGAAUAAAUUAUGUGGACAGACCUCGAGAAAUAUGAUUAUAUACUUAUGUAUGUAUACCGAUAGUCUCGUAACUUUGAGCGAGUUUCCAUAAAACGUCGCUAGCGACAAACGACGACGAUGACGACGACGGAGGACGCGAACAACGAUGCGCGCGCGCAAAACAGUCGUUGUGCUUUCGAGCAACGUGAUACGCUCUGUUAUCCGAAGACGAACGCGCACGAUUACCUAUCGGUAACGUUAAACAAUCACGAGGUCUUACCAGAUAACCCAAGUCGUGCAUAAUCUAUCCUUAAACGAACAACACAUUACACAGGAAAACACGUUCAAAUGUGGAUUCAUCGUAAUGGUCUCUUUCUGUACCGUUUGAUUGCACUCUCAUCAUUUGAAGAAAAUGCUUAUAAUUACGAUCAAGGUCGGCGACGAGAUUUUACUAAAAAUAUAUA